rfam:Sporosarcina newyorkensis 2681 genomic scaffold SCAFFOLD3, whole genome shotgun sequence.
UAACCUGUCCAGUGAUGGACAGCUGAACCGUCAGAAGUCAGCAGAAGCCAUAGUACCAUUCGAUCUCGAGAACGAAUGGGAAGGGC